rnacentral:rRNA from 1 species
CUACGGGCUGCAGCAGUGAGGAGUAUUGCACAAUGGGGGGAACCCUGAUGCAGCAACGCCGCGUGGAGGAUGACGCAUUUCGGUGUGUAAACUCCUUUUAUAUGUCAAGAAAAUGACGGUAGCAUAUGAAUAAGCACCGGCUAACUCCGUGCCAGCAGCCGCGGUAAUACGGAGGGUGCAAGCGUUACUCGGAAUCACUGGGCGUAAAGGACGCGUAGGCGGGUUGGAAAGUCAGGUGUGAAAUCCUACAGCUUAACUGUAGAACUGCACUUGAAACUUCUAAUCUAGGGUAUGGGAGGGGGAGAUGGAAUUAGUGGUGUAGGGGUAAAAUCCGUAGAUAUCACUAGGAAUACCUAAAGCGAAGGCGAUCUCCUGGAACAUUACUGACGCUAAGGCGUGAAAGCGUGGGGAGCAAACAGGAUUAGAUACCCCAGUAGUC